rnacentral:rRNA from 1 species
UACGGAGGGUGCGAGCGUUGUCCGGAAUCACUGGGCGUAAAGAGCUCGUAGGUGGUUUGUCGCGUUGUUCGUGAAAACUCACAGCUCAACUGUGGGCGUGCGGGCGAUACGGGCAGACUAGAGUACUGCAGGGGAGACUGGAAUUCCUGGUGUAGCGGUGGAAUGCGCAGAUAUCAGGAGGAACACCGGUGGCGAAGGCGGGUCUCUGGGCAGUAACUGACGCUGGAGGAGCGGAAAGCGUGGGGAGC